rnacentral:rRNA from 1 species
UUCUGGUUGAUCCUGCCGGACCUGACUGCUAUCGGAUUGAUACUAAGCCAUGCGAGUCUUUGUAGUAAUACAAGGCAUACGGCUCAGUAACGCGUAGUCAACCUACCCUAUGGACAAGAAUAAUCUCGGGAAACUGAGCAUAAUUCCUGGUAGAUCAUAAUGCCUGGAAUGGUUUAUGGUUAAAAUGAUUCGUCGCCAUAGGAUGGGACUGCGGCCUAUCAGCUUGUUGGUGAGGUAAUGGCCCACCAAGGCGAUUACAGGUACGGGCUCUGAGAGGAGAAGCCCGGAGAUGGGUACUGAGACAAGGACCCAGGCCCUAUGGGGCGCAGCAGGCGAGAAAACUUUGCAAUGUGCGAAAGCACGACAAGGUUAGUCCGAGUGAUUUCUGCUAAAGAGAUCUUUUGCUAGUUAUAAAACCACUAGUGAAUAAGGGGUGGGCAAGUUCUGGUGUCAGCCGCCGCGGUAAAACCAGCACCUCAAGUGGUCAGGAUGAUUAUUGGGCCUAAAGCAUCCGUAGCCGGCUCUGUAAGUUUUCGGUUAAAUCUAUGCGCUCAACGUAUGGGCUGCCGAAAAUACUGCAGAGAUAGGGAGUGGGAGAGGUAGACGGUACUCGGUAGGAAGGGGUAAAAUCCUUUGAUCUAUCGAUGACCACCUGUGGCGAAGGCGGUCUACCAGAACACGUUCGACGGUGAGGGAUGAAAGCUGGGGGAGCAAACCGGAUUAGAUACCCGGGUAGUCCCAGCUGUAAACGAUGCAGACUCGAUGAUGCAUUGGCAUAUAGCCAGUGCAGUGUCGCAGGGAAGCCGUUAAGUCUGCCGCCUGGGAAGUACGUACGCAAGUAUGAAACUUAAAGGAAUUGGCGGGGGAGCACCACAAGGGGUGAAGCCUGCGGUUCAAUUGG